rnacentral:rRNA from 1 species
UACGUAGGGUGCAAGCGUUGUCCGGAAUUAUUGGGCGUAAAGAGCUCGUAGGCGGUCUGUUGCGUCGGCUGUGAAAACCCGGGGCUCAACUCCGGGCCUGCAGCCGAUACGGGCAGACUAGAGUUCGGCAGGGGAGACUGGAAUUCCUGGUGCAGCGGUGAAAUGCGCAGAUAUCAGGAGGAACACCGGUGGCGAAGGCGGGUCUCUGGGCCGAUACUGACGCUGAGGAGCGAAAGCGUGGGGAGCGAACAGG